rnacentral:rRNA from 1 species
UACGGGGGGGGCAAGCGUUGUUCGGAAUUACUGGGCGUAAAGGGCUCGUAGGUGGCCAACUAAGUCAUACGUGAAAUCCCUCAGCUUAACUGGGGAACUGCGUCUGAUACUGGAUGGCUAGAGAUUGGGAGAGGGAUGCGGAAUUCCAGGUGUAGCGGUGAAAUGCGUAGAUAUCUGGAGGAACACCGGUGGCGAAGGCGGCAUCCUGGACCAACACUGACGCUGAGGAGCGAAAGCCAGGGGAGCAAACGGG